AUCCGUACAAGUAAUAAAUUGAGAUUAAACUAAUCAUAGCCAGAUCAAAAACUGAUUCACGAAAUGUACCAGAAUGUAUAAAAAGGUUUACUACUGCACAAGGUACAACACCUGAAAAGCAACCUUAACCGCAGGGAAUCUCUCCCCCAAAUGAACAGAGAAUGUGGGGUCCACACGCGUGCACUCACGGCCAUUGAGAUUGGUGACGGAGAUCGGACGGCUGAGAGGCGGGCUCUGUGAUGGGAGCUUUCACGCCGGGCUAGGUCACCCCUAGCACACCAUACGAGGUGCGUUGGUACUAAAACUUCGCCGCAAUCACAGCGGAUAAUUAUUCCUAAAUUUCGGUACUCCCAAACGCCGUUUCUUCACCUUCCCGAACGCCGUUGACGGUUAUCCACGUGUCGCGCAUGCCGCGGACUGAUUAGAAUGAUCCAAUACAGUUGUGUGGUAACGGAGACUUUUUCUUUUUUUUUUGAUUGACUUCACGCGCCACUCUCUUGGUAUUCAUCAAGACCUGAAUUUAUGUUUUUCUGAACUUGGCAUUAUUUUAGGUGGUUUCCUAAAUCGGCUUAGUUCGGACAAUUUUGAUCGAAAA
rnacentral:lncRNA from 1 species